rnacentral:rRNA from 1 species
AGAGCGAACGUUAGCGGCGGGCCUAACACAUGCAAGUCGAACGAGAAUGAGGGGGCAACUCCUCUAGUAAAGUGGCGGACGGGUGCGUAACACGUGGGUAAUCUACCUUCCGGCGGGGGACAACAGUCCGAAAGGAUUGCUAAUACCGCGUACGUCAGCGAGACCUACGGGUCUUGUUGGGAAAGAUGGCCUCUCCUUGGAAGCUGUCACCGGAAGAUGAGCCCGCGGCCCAUCAGCUAGUUGGUGAGGUAAUGGCUCACCAAGGCUUAGACGGGUAGCUGGUCUGAGAGGAUGGAUCAGCCACACUGGGACUGCGACA